rnacentral:rRNA from 1 species
GACGAACGCUGGCGGCGUGCUUAACACAUGCAAGUCGAACGGUGAAGCGCCUUCCUUUUUGGUGGGUGUGGAUGAGUGGCGAACGGGUGAGUAACACGUGAGUAACCUGCCCCCUUCUUCUGGAUAACCGCAUGAAAGUGUGGCUAAUACGGGAUAUUCUGGGUCUGUCGCAUGAUGGGUCUGGGAAAGAUAUUGUUUCGGUGGGGGAUGGGCUCGCGGCCUAUCAGCUUGUUGGUGGGGUGAUGCCUACCAAGGCGGUGACGGGUAGCCGGCCUGAGAGGGUGGACGGUCACACUGGGACUGAGACACGGCCCAGACUCCUACGGGAGGCAGCAGUGGGGAAUAUUGCACAAUGGGCGCAAGCCUGAUGCAGCGACGCCGCGUGAGGGAUGGAGGCCUUCGGGUUGUGAACCUCUUUCGCCAGUGAAGCAGGCCUGCCUCGUUUGUGGGUGGGUUGACGGUAGCUGGAGAAGAAGCGCCGGCUAACUACGUG